rnacentral:rRNA from 1 species
UAGAGUUUGAUCCUGGCUCAGAACGAACGCUGGCGGCGUGGAUAAGACAUGCAAGUCGAACGGGAUUUUAUUUGUAGCAAUACACGUAAAGUCUAGUGGCGUAAGGGUGCGUAACACGUGGGGAAUCUGCCGAGAAGUGGGGGAUAGCUCGCCGAAAGGCGAAUUAAUACCGCAUGUGGUUAGUGAAGACAUCUUCACAAUACCAAAGCCGGGGCAACCUGGCGCUUCUUGAUGACCCCGCGGCCUAUCAGCUAGUUGGUGAGGUAACGGCUCACCAAGGCUAUGACGGGUAGCUGGUCUGAGAGGACGACCAGCCACACUGGAACUGAGACACGGUCCAGACACCUACGGGUGGCAGCAGUCGAGAAUUUUGCUCAAUGGGCGAAAGCCUGAAGCAGCAACGCCGCGUGAGGGAUGAAGGCCUUCGGGUUGUAAACCUCUUUUUCCAGGGACGAUGAUGACGGUACCUGGAGAAUAAGCCACGGCUAACUACGUGCCAGCAGCCCCGGUCAA